rnacentral:lncRNA from 1 species
CAAACGUUAGGGAGGUGACCAACUGCUUUCUGACUGCAUUGAAAGUCCACUCCACAGAAGGUGAUACAUACCUGGUAACUAUAAAUCUAGCCACGAGGCCAAGUUUGGAGAGCUUACAGACCCUGGGGAUGAACCUACUAUGACUACUUUGCUAAAUGGGCAUGGUAUAAAACUGCCCUGGGACUUAUCUGCUAAUAGAUUGGCAGCUUUGAGAAGUAAUGGACAGUUGAAGGUUUCUGAGGAAGGGAUAAUCAGUUUCCUUAAAAGGAGCUGCUCUUCACAAGUCAACUGCAAUCCAGAUGGUCCCACAGACAGAAUGUCAAAGGGUUACUGAAUUAACCCAGAAAAAGGACAUGACAUGAUAAGGGGUGUAGGGAAGUGAGAAUGGAUCUGAAGAGCUGAGGAUGGAUUGGGAGCCAGAGAAUGGGGAGAUGUGAAGCAAAAAAUGUCUACUUGAUCUGACAUGGACACUGCACUCAUGGACUCGAUGAAGCUGUGGCUGCUUACAUAAGACCCCAAAUGAUCCAGGCACUCAAUACUCCAUCAUGGCUAGAGGAGGGGUCUACAACAGACCACUACAGAGUUCCUCAUCUCCUGUCUUUGUAAGCAGUGUGUUUGGGCACUAGGAGUAAACAGUAACACUGGCCUUCAAGAGUAGAGGCACUUAAGAAUUAAUCAUUAACUUUGCUUAGAAAAAAAUCUACCUAGGUUAAUUCUGAUGUUAGUUCCUCUUUUAUGUAACAUGUCUCAAAGUGUUAAUAAAGGGAGAGCUGGAGAGAUGGCUCAGCAGUUAAAAGCAUGGCUACUCUUCCAGAGGUCCUGAAUUCAAUUCCCAGCAACCACAUGGUGGCUCACAACCAUCUAUAAGGGGAUCUGAUGCCCUCUUCUGGACUCCAGAUGUAUAUGCAGCAAAGCACUAGUACAUUAAAUUUAAAACAGUGUUAGUAAAGUUAUUUUGAAGAAUGAACAUCAGGUGUUCAAUCCUGUAAUUAUGAUUGCCCUUGGUGUCCACGUGGGAUUGGAUCCAAGACUCAACCCAUAACAAAACCUGCAGAUGCUUAAGUCUACUACUAAUCAUGUGGUCUAGCAUUUGCACAUAUUCUCUGCACAUUUUCCAAAGUACCUUCAAUGCCUACAGACUUGUAACAUCAUAUAAUGUACAUGGCA